GUAUAAGAGACAGCAGCAGCCGCGGUAAAACGGAGGGUGCAAGCGUUAAUCGGAAUUACUGGGCGUAAAGCGCACGCAGGCGGUCUGUCAAGUCAGAUGUGAAAUCCCCGGGCUUAACCUGGGAACUGCAUUUGAAACUGGCAGGCUAGAGUCUUGUAGAGGGGGGUAGAAUUCCAGGUGUAGCGGUGAAAUGCGUAGAGAUCUGGAGGAAUACCGGUGGCGAAGGCGGCCCCCUGGACAAAGACUGACGCUCAGGUGCGAAAGCGUGGGGAGCAAACAGGAUUAGAUACCCGAGUAGUCCCUGUCUCUUAUAC
rnacentral:rRNA from 1 species